GAUGAAUGCUGGCGGCGUGCCUAAUACAUGCAAGUCGAGCGAACGGACGAGAAGCUUGCUUCUCUGAUGUUAGCGGCGGACGGGUGAGUAACACGUGGAUAACCUACCUAUAAGACUGGGAUAACUUCGGGAAACCGUAGCUAAUACCGGAUAAUAUUUUGAACCGCAUGGUUCAAAAGUGAAAGACGGUCUUGCUGUCACUUAUAGAUGGAUCCGCGCUGCAUUAGCUAGUUGGUAAGGUAACGGCUUACCAAGGCAACGAUGCAUAGCCGACCUGAGAGGGUGAUCGGCCACACUGGAACUGAGACACGGUCCAGACUCCUACGGGAGGCAGCAGUAGGGAAUCUUCCGCAAUGGGCGAAAGCCUGACGGAGCAACGCCGCGUGAGUGAUGAAGGUCUUCGGAUCGUAAAACUCUGUUAUUAGGGAAGAACAUAUGUGUAAGUAACUGUGCACAUCUUGACGGUACCUAAUCAGAAAGCCACGGCUAACUACGUG
rnacentral:rRNA from 1 species